GUGCUUGUAGCUCAAUGGAGUUAGAGCGCGGGACCGCAGAUCCCGAGGUUGGAGGUUCGACUCCUCCCAAGCCA
rnacentral:tRNA from 1 species